UAGUCAUAUGCUUGUCUCAAAGAUUAAGCCAUGCAUGUCUAAGUAUAAGCAAUUAUACCGUGAAACUGCGAAUGGCUCAUUAAAUCAGUUAUCGUUUAUUUGAUAGUACCUUACUACAUGGAUAACCGUGGUAAUUCUAGAGCUAAUACAUGCUAAAAACCCCGACUUCGGAUGGGGUGUAUUUAUUAGAUAAAAAACCAAUGCCCUUCGGGGCUCUUUGGUGAUUCAUAAUAACUUAACGGAUCGCAUGGCCUUGCGCCGGCGACGGUUCAUUCAAAUUUCUGCCCUAUCAACUUUCGAUGGUAAGGUAUUGGCUUACCAUGGUUUCAACGGGUAACGGGGAAUUAGGGUUCGACUCCGGAGAGGGAGCCUGAGAAACGGCUACCACAUCCAAGGAAGGCAGCAGGCGCGCAAAUUACCAAUCCCGACACGGGGAGGUAGUGACAAUAAAUACUGAUACAGGGCUCUUUUGGGUCUUGUAAUUGGAAUGAGUACAAUUUAAACCCCUUAACGAGGAACAAUU
rnacentral:rRNA from 1 species